rnacentral:rRNA from 1 species
AGGAAGUAAAAGUCGUAACAAGGUUUCCGUAGGUGAACCUGCGGAAGGAUCAUUACCGAGUGAGGGCCCUCUGGGUCCAACCUCCCACCCGUGUUUAUUUUACCUUGUUGCUUCGGCGGGCCCGCCUUAACUGGCCGCCGGGGGGCUUACGCCCCCGGGCCCGCGCCCGCCGAAGACACCCUCGAACUCUGUCUGAAGAUUGAAGUCUGAGUGAAAAUAUAAAUUAUUUAAAACUUUCAACAACGGAUCUCUUGGUUCCGGCAUCGAUGAAGAACGCAGCGAAAUGCGAUACGUAAUGUGAAUUGCAAAUUCAGUGAAUCAUCGAGUCUUUGAACGCACAUUGCGCCCCCUGGUAUUCCGGGGGGCAUGCCUGUCCGAGCGUCAUUGCUGCCCUCAAGCCCGGCUUGUGUGUUGGGCCCCGUCCCCCGAUCUCCGGGGGACGGGCCCGAAAGGCAGCGGCGGCACCGCGUCCGGUCCUCGAGCGUAUGGGGCUUUGUCACCCGCUCUGUAGGCCCGGCCGGCGCUUGCCGAUCAACCCAAAUUUUUAUCCAGGUUGACCUCGGAUCAGGUAGGGAUACCCGCUGAACUUAAGCAUA